AGGACGAACGCUGGCGGCGUGCUUAACACAUGCAAGUCAAGGGGGCUCGUAGCAAUACGGGCAACCGGCGAACGGGUGCGUAACACGUGAGCAACCUACCGAGAUGUGGGGGAUAGCCGGCCCAACGGCCGGGUAAUACCGCAUACGAUUGCUUGGGGGAGUCCCCGGGCAAGGAAACCCGCAAGGGGCAUUUCGAGGGGCUCGCGGCCUAUCAGCUAGUUGGCGGGGUAAUGGCCCACCAAGGCAUCGACGGGUAGCUGGU
rnacentral:rRNA from 1 species